rnacentral:rRNA from 1 species
CGCGUGAGGGAUGACGGCCUUCGGGUUGUAAACCUCUUUUAGUAGGGAAGAAGCGAAAGUGACGGUACCUGCAUAAAAAGCACCGGCUAACUACGUGCCAGCAGCCGCGGUAAUACGUAGGGUGCAAGCGUUGUCCGGAAUUAUUGGGCGUAAAGAGCUCGUAGGCGGUUUGUCGCGUCUGCUGUGAAAUCCCGAGGCUCAACCUCGGGCUUGCAGUGGGUACGGGCAGACUAGAGUGCGGUAGGGGAGAUUGGAAUUCCUGGUGU